rnacentral:rRNA from 1 species
AAUACGUAGGUGGCAAGCGUUAUCCGGAAUUACUGGGCGUAAAGCGCACGCAGGCGGCUUAGCAAGUUCGACGUGAAAGCUCCCGGCUUAACUGGGAGAGGUCGUUGAAGACUGCUGGGCUUGAGGCAAGGAGAGGGGUGUAGAAUUCCCGGUGUAGUGGUGGAAUGCGUAGAUAUCGGGGGGAAUACCAGUGGCGCAAGCGGCACCCUAGCCUUAGCCUGACGCUCAGGUGCGAAAGCGUGGGGAGCGAACG